CAAAGGGACAGCACUGGAUCACAUACCAGUUUCAUCGUAACAUUCAGGUAGAACAUCAAAUAUCUUAGAAAUAUGAGAAAAAGACAACAGAGCUGAUUCCAUGCUUGAUUUAUCAGACACAUUCUGAUUCUAUAGCUGAAGACCAGAUCUUGGACAGCAACAAGGAUUGAACACACUACCUAAGUGUUUUAUAAUAAUGAAGAAGUCGAGCUGUCGUGAGGAAAAUGGAUAAGAUAAAAAGCCACAGAGACUAUUCUUCUAAAUACUAACCGAAAAAAAGCAGAAACGAAGUUCUCUCUUAGGCUGC